GCACGGGUGCGUAACGCGUAUGCAACCUACCUUUAACAGGGGGAUAACACUGAGAAAUUGGUACUAAUACCCCAUAAUAUCAUAGAAGGCAUCUUUUAUGGUUGAAAAUUCCGAUGGUUAGAGAUGGGCAUGCGUUGUAUUAGCUAGUUGGUGAGGUAACGGCCCACCAAGGCGACGAUCAGUAGCCGGACUGAGAGGUUGACCGGCCACAUUGGGACUGAGAUACGGCCCAGACUCCUACGGGAGGCAGCAGUGGGGAAUAUUGGGCAAUGGGCGCAAGCCUGACCCAGCAACGCCGCGUGAAGGAAGAAGGCUUUCGGGUUGUAAACUUCUUUUAAGUGGGAAGAGCAGAAGACGGUACCACUUGAAUAAGCCACGG
rnacentral:rRNA from 1 species